GAGGGGCUCGCGGCCUAUCAGCCAGUUGGUGAGGUGAUGGCUCACCAAGGCGAUGAUCAGUAGCCGGCCUGAGAGGGCGCACGGCCACACUGGAACUGAAACACGGUCCAGACUCCUACGGGAGGCAGCAGUGGGGAAUUUUGCGCAAUGGGGGGAACCCUGACGCAGCAACGCCGCGUGGAGGAUGAAGUCCCUUGGGACGUAAACUCCUUUCGAUCGGGACGAAUAAUGACGGUACCGGAAGAAGAAGCCCCGGCUAACUUCGUGCCAGCAGCCGCGGUAAUACGAGGGGGGCAAGCGUUGUUCGGAAUUAUUGGGCGUANAGGGCGCGUANGCGGUGCGGAAAGUCUUCAGUGAAAUCUCUGGGCUCAACUCAGAGUUGGCUGGGGAAACUCCCGU
rnacentral:rRNA from 1 species